rnacentral:rRNA from 1 species
AACGCGAAGAACCUUACCAAGGCUUGACAUAUAGCGAAAAGUGGCAGAGAUGUCAUGUCCGCAAGGGCGCUAUACAGGUGGUGCAUGGUUGUCGUCAGCUCGUGUCGUGAGAUGUUGGGUUAAGUCCCGCAACGAGCGCAACCCCCGUUCUGUGUUACCAGCAUUCAGUUGGGGACUCACAGGAGACUGCCGGGGUCAACUCGGAGGAAGGUGGGGAUGACGUCAAAUCAUCAUGCCCCUUAUGUCUUGGGCUGCACGCAUGCUACAAUGGCCGGUACAAAGUGCUGCGAAAUCGUAAGAUUUAGCGAAUCACAUAAAGCCGGUCUCAGUUCGGAUUGAGGUCUGCAACUCGACCUCAUGAAGUCGGAGUUGCUAGUAAUCGUAGAUCAGCAACGCUACGGUGAAUACGUUCCCGGGUCUUGUACACACCG